rfam:Salmo salar isolate Sally breed double haploid chromosome ssa02, whole genome shotgun sequence.
UGCAUUCACUACUGUAAGUCACUCUGGAUAAGAGCGUCUGCUAAAUGACUCAAA